AAAUUGAAGAGUUUGAUCAUGGCUCAGAUUGAACGCUGGCGGCAGGCCUAACACAUGCAAGUCGAGCGGAAACGACACUAACAAUCCUUCGGGUGCGUUAAUGGGCGUCGAGCGGCGGACGGGUGAGUAAUGCCUAGGAAAUUGCCUUGAUGUGGGGGAUAACCAUUGGAAACGAUGGCUAAUACCGCAUAAUGCCUACGGGCCAAAGAGGGGGAUCUUCGGACCUCUCGCG
rnacentral:rRNA from 1 species